GGGCGGAAAUAAGCGGCGCCCUGUUAACCAGCUGCCUCUGGAGUCGGACAACUUCGUCGGCCGCCAUCUGGAAUCUCCCCUUAUACUCUUCCACCUACCUGCGCCAGCUAGCCCGCUGCACGUCGUGGCUCACCUCGGCGUCUUGAAGCUGCUUUUGAAGAUCGGAGACCUUCUGCGACCACUUCUGUUCAUCAUCAACCCGAGCCAAGAGCCGGGAUGAGUUUCCCUCCAGCUGGCCGAUCUUCCCCUUCGCAGCUGACAGUUCCACCUUAAGGGCGCUAAUCUUGGCGGCCUGGGCCCA
rnacentral:lncRNA from 1 species